rnacentral:rRNA from 1 species
CCCGCUGAACUUAAGCAUAUCAAUAAGCGGAGGAAAAGAAACUAACAAGGAUUCCCUUAGUAACUGCGAGUGAAGAGGGAAGAGCUCAAAUUUAAAAUCGGGCAUCUGUCCGAGUUGUAAAUUAGAGAAGUGUUAUCUGCGCUGAACUGUGCAUAAGUCUCUUGGAAAAGGGCAUCAUAGAGGGUGACAAUCCCGUCUUUGGCACAGACUCUCAGGGCUUUGUGAUGCACUCUCAAUGAGUCGAGUUGUUUGGGAAUGCAGCUCUAAAUGGGUGGUAAAUUCCAUCUAAAGCUAAAUACUGGCGAGAGACCGAUAGCGAACAAGUACCGUGAGGGAAAGAUGAAAAGCACUUUGGAAAGAGAGUUAAACAGUACGUGAAAUUGUUGAAAGGGAAACGUUUGAAGUCAGUCGCGUCGGCCGGGACUCAGCCUUGCUAUCUUGCUUGGUGCACUUCUCGGUCGACGGGUCAGCAUCAAUUUUGACCGUCGGAUAAAGGCCGAGGGAAUGUGGCAUCCUCCGGGGUGUGUUAUAGCCCUUGGUUCGCAUACGGCGAUCGGGAUUGAGGAACUCAGCGCGCCUUCAUUGGUCGGGGCUUCGCGGCUCACGUUAACGCGCUUAGGAUGCUGGCAUAAUGGCUUUAAGCGACCCGUCUUGAAACACGG